CUUCGGUCGUAAAGCUCUGUCGAGGGAAAGAAGUGUAUUGUGGCUAAUAUCCACGAUACUUGACGGUACCCUAAAGGAAGCACCGGCUAACUCCGUGC
rnacentral:rRNA from 1 species